AGGAUGAACGCUGGCGGCGUGCCUAACACAUGCAAGUCGAACGUCCUGUCUCGCAAGAGGCAGGGAGUGGCGGACGGGUGAGUACCACGUGGGUUAUCUACCGUGAGGUGAGGAAUACCGGCGAGAAAUCGCCGACAAGACCGCAUAGCCUCGGUGCAAGCCGAGGAAAGCUUUCUCGAGAGAGGGAGCGCCACACGAGGAGCCUGCGCCCGAUUAGCUAGCUGGUGGAGUAACGGUUCACCAGGGCGACGAUCGGUAGCUGGUCUGAGAGGACGAUCAGCCACACUGGGAUUGAGAACGGCCCAGACUCCUACGGGGGGCAGCAGUGAGGAAUUUUCGUCAAUGGGGGCAACCCUGAACGAGCAACGCCGCGUGCAGGAAGAAGGUUUCGGAUCGUAAACUGCUUUUCGUCGGGGAAGAGAACGGACGGUACCCGAGGAAUCGAGCCCCGGCUAACUACGUGCCAGCAGCCGCGGUAA
rnacentral:rRNA from 1 species